GCAGUCCUAGUUGGGGUAAAGAUGGAGUGGCAUAUGUUCAAAAGAAGCUGACAACCACCAGGCACUUGAGGGUCCCUCUCUCAAAUUGAGAGCGCAGCCUGAGUCAGCUGACAUGGGGAGGUGAUGGGGUGACACUUCUGCGUUAGUCCACGUCUAUCAAGAAGCAACACCAAGCAGGUUUAGAUGCACACAGGAUUUACUGGGGGAGAAAGCAAGGGAAGCCUUCCGAUCUCGGCGCAGAUGUGUACCUAUGGAAGGAGAGAGGAAAGGACAGAGAACCACAUACAGGUGUGCCUCAGGCCACUCUGCAAAGGCGAAUGCCGGCGGCAGUGUACUCCGCUUUGACAACCGGGACUUUGGACCUUGGGCAAGCUCCGGUGCUACCUCCUUCCCUGAGGAGAGUCCUCUCUGAGGCCCUUCCGCACCGCCAGGCUGAUUCCUUUGCUCUGGGCCAGACCGAACAUUUAGCAGUUCCAUCGCCAAGUGUGAGUAGGAUUCAGCUGAAUCGUCACAUCUGCAGGACUGGAUAACAAUCGCUGAUGGUCAUCAGGAUGGAGAUAGCCAAGUACAGUUCAAGCUCAGCUGCUCUCAAGAUGUCACAAUUUAUAAAAAAAAAAAAAAAAAUCUCACCCUGUGACUUUCUACAAGCAAGAAAUUACCCUUUAUUUAUCAUAUGAAACUGUCAAGACUUCUGGUUCAGUUGCUAUAUCACAGCUGAGCUCAUCCUGAAUCCAGCCACUGCAUCCAUACCCUUCGCUCUGCUUCCUUGAAAAUGCUCUUCCAUUUCCACGGACAAAAAGCGACCAAGAACUCAAAUAUGCUCUAAAAUAAAUAGUACCUGA